UGUGUGUGUGUGUGUGUGUGUGUGUGUGUGUGUGUGUGUGUGUGUGUGUGUGUGUGUGUGUGUCUGUGAAAACUAAACCUUGCUGUCCAAGUGCACUUUUUUAGACUAGCUUUGCUUUAGAGCUUUUACGAUGAGUUGUUUUUUUGUUUUUUUUUGACAGUAGACAGAAGUGUUGGUCUA